GAGAUGCGAUAAGUAAUGUGAAUUGCAGAAUUCAGUGAAUCAUCGAAUCUUUGAACGCACAUUGCGCUCGCCAGUAUUCUGGCGAGCAUGCCUGUUCGAGCGUCAUUUCAACCAUCAAGCUCUGCUUGCGUUGGGGAUCCGCGGCUGCCCGCGGUCCCUCAAAAACAGUGGCGGGCUCGCUAGUCACACCGAGCGUAGUAACUCUACAUCGCUAUGGUCGUGCGGCGGGUUCUUGCCGUAAAACCCCCAAUUUCUAAGGUUGACCUCGGAUCAGGUAGGAAUACCCGCUGAACUCAAGC
rnacentral:misc_RNA from 1 species